rnacentral:misc_RNA from 1 species
GCAAUCUCUAUAUCCGAUCUUUUUAAGAACAUUAUUUGGAACUGAAACUGGAAAAGGUGAAGAAAUGGGUGUUUCAGAAAUCAAAGACGAGUCGGCACUUCAAAGCCUGUUGUCAUCAGCCUCAAAUCAACUGGUGGUACUGCACUUUUCAGCAGCAUGGGCUCCUCAAUGCAAACAAAUGAAUGAAGUCAUGGAGGAACUAUCUAAAGAUUCCCAGUAUAAUAAUGUACAGUUUGCUAAGUUGGAAGCUGAGGAUGUACCAGAAAUCUCUGAAAAAUAUGAAAUAACAGCAGUACCCACAUUUAUAUUCAUCAAGAACAAAUCCCAGGUUGACAGAAUUGAUGGUGCCAAAGCGGCAGAUCUGACCAAAAAAGUAAAGCUUCUGUGUUCUGGACAAGGGGGCGUGCCACCGCCAGCGGAAGACAAAAAGCCGAUUCAGGAUUUAAACACCAGGCUGAAAAAUUUGAUCAACUCUGCACCAGUCAUGCUAUUUAUGAAGGGAGACCCAGAGCAACCGAGAUGUGGUUUCAGUCGGCAAAUCACACAGCUACUGAAAGAAAGAGGAAUCAAGUUCAGUUCUUUUGAUAUCCUGCAAGAUGAAGAAGUCAGACAAGGAUUGAAGACAUAUUCCAACUGGCCCACAUAUCCACAACUUUACGCAAAUGGAGAGCUGAUAGGAGGGGUGGACAUUGUGAAGGAACUAAUCGAGUCCGGGGAACUGGAGGCCCAGCUACCAAAACAAACCAGUCUGGAAGACAGGUGCACUCAUAACUAAAUCUCAUUUUCUAAAUUUGCUAUUAUUUUUUUUGGAUGAACUGGACCAACUGAAGAGCAAAAUGUUUAUAUCUGCAAGAACUUUCUCUAAGGUCAAGAGGCCAUCCAUCAUUUUUCUACAUGUACAUUUGCUUAGAUUUAGAUUUACUGUGUAACUAGACAUUAAAACAAACCAAUGUGCUUUUACCCUGUAUUCAUGAGGAAGAAACGUUGAAGUGGAGAAUUUUAUAAUGUACGCAUUGCUUUCAUCCUCUUCACUUCAUACAUUUAUGAGAGAUCAAACCAUUUAAAAUGAAAAGGGGUGGCUGUUAAUUUAACCAUUCCACUCAAAAUGAUUCCAAACUCUUCAGUUGCUUUACACGAUAAUGAAACAAACAUAACAAAUGCUUUACUACAAUAAGAUUUACCUGUACUUACUAAAAGAAUAUUGUUUGUCUUGUAAAAUUUUAGAUUGAAGGGUCUGAUCAACAAAUCAGAUGUCAUGUUAUUUAUGAAGGGUGAUCCCGACACCCCCCGCUGUGGAUUCAGUAAGCAGACGACAAGCAUACUGGCUGAUACUGGCGUGAAGUAUGAUACCUUUGAUAUUCUUUCUGAUGAGGAGGUAAGACAAGGUUUGAAGAAAUAUUCUAAUUGGCCGACUUAUCCCCAACUGUAUGUUAAAGGAGAGUUGAUUGGUGGAUUAGACAUCAUCAAGGAACUAAAAGAAUCUGGAGAGCUUGAAUCUGUAUUGAAAGGACAGUAAAACUUAUACGCAAAGGGAGAGAACUCUGACUAGUGCUAGCCAACUCUGUUGUCAUUUGUAAAAUGAUGCACAUAUAUAUUAAUGGUUAUGUCAUUUACACAUGAUUGGUAUGUGCAUUCUGUAUCAAAAUGUUGAAAUAUGGUCUGUUCAUGAUAUUCCACUUCAAAAAUAAAUGGAGCUUUUAAAAGAAG